AGAGUUUGAUCAUGGCUCAGAUUGAACGCUGGCGGAAUGCUUUACACAUGCAAGUCGAACGGCAGCAUAGGUGCUUGCACCUGAUGGCGAGUGGCGAACGGGUGAGUAAUACAUCGGAACGUGCCCAGUCGUGGGGGAUAACGCAGCGAAAGCUGUGCUAAUACCGCAUACGCCCUGAGGGGGAAAGCGGGGGAUCGCAAGACCUCGCGCGAUUAGAGCGGCCGAUGCCUGAUUAGCUAGUUGGUGGGGUAAAAGCCCACCAAGGCGACGAUCAGUAGCUGGUCUGAGAGGACGAUCAGCCACACUGGGACUGAGACACGGCCCAGACUCCUACGGGAGGCAGCAGUGGGGAAUUUUGGACAAUGGGGGCAACCCUGAUCCAGCAAUGCCGCGUGCAGGACGAAGGCCUUCGGGUUGUAAACUGCUUUUGUACAGAACGAAAAGCCUUGGGUUAAUACCCUGGGGUCAUGACGGUACUGUAAGAAUAAGCACCGGCUAACUACGUGCCAGCAGCCGCGGUAAU
rnacentral:rRNA from 1 species